rnacentral:rRNA from 1 species
AGCCUGAUCCAGCCAUCCCGCGUGAAGGAUGACGGCCCUAUGGGUUGUAAACUUCUUUUAUAUAGGACGAAACGCCUUCAUUUAUGGGGGCCUGACGGUACUAUACGAAUAAGCACCGGCUAAUUCCGUGCCAGCAGCCGCGGUAAUACGGAAGGUGCAAGCGUUAUCCGGAAUCACUGGGUUUAAAGGGUGCGUAGGCUGUUAGAUAAGUCAGAGGUGAAAGCUCAUCGCUUAACGAUGGAACUGCCUUUGAUACUGUUUAACUUGAAUUAGGUUGAGGUUAGCGGAAUGAGUCAUGUAGCGGUGAAAUGCAUAGAUAUGACUUAGAACACCAAUUGCGAAGGCAGCUGGCUAGACCUAUAUUGACGCUGAGGCACGAAAGCGUGGGGAGCGAACAGGAUUAGAUACCCUGGUAGUCCACGCCCUAAACGAUGCUUACUCGCUGUUUGGGAAUUAUUCUUGAGCGGCUAAGGGAAACCGUUAAGUAAGCCACCUGGGGAGUACGCUCGCAAGAGUGAAACUCAAAUGAAUUGAC